GAAAGUGAGUGAAAGGACAUCUACAUCCUCCUCCUUCCCACUCCACCUGAGCCACCUACGCCUCUUCAGGGGGCCCCAAGGGACCUACCUUAAUCCAGAUCAAGUACCUGGUUUGAGUCUUGGGUGCGCAGUUUUCUAGAAUCACGAUGGAGUGCAGCUUGACUUCCGGAAAAGUGGACUUCAGGUUAUGAAUAUGACCAGACGAUCCAAAUGGCAGUUAUCUUGGGAUGUACAGUGCUGGUGUCUGUGCCUUUUCUCUCCAGCGGUCUCCUCUACGACCCCCUCCUUCCCUCCCAUGUUAGCCUCUACCACCCCCAGGGACAAGGAACACACCCAAAUCCAGGUAACGUGGAAAAGGUUGGGUGAUCUUGAUUUCAAGUUGGGUCCAACAUUGACGGCUGCUGACUGAGUCAAAAACUGCUCACUUGAUUUCAAUAGGGGUGUGGGGUGGGGUUGUGUCACAUCUGUGGGUAAUUGCCCUGAUGCCCUUGAGAUAGGCAGAGAGUGAGAGGAAUAAAAAAUCUUGCUGGAAGGAGUGCCAGGCCAGAGCAGAGCAGGGUUCUGCUGAGGAGGCAGAGGAAGGGCUGGGAAUUGCUGUUAGAGCACAUGUCCACCAGAUGGUGACAGAGCACCAGCACAAACUCCCCCUCCCCUUGCCUGAGUCUCCACAGCUACCUGGCUGCAACUCAAGACUCAAAUGUAUGUUGGAGAUAGGUUGGUGGAAGCCCAAUGUGGUGCCCAGAGCUGGGGCCUGGUUAUAGGGCAUUUCCAAGUCUCUGGGCAAUGUCCCUGCUCUCAGACGAGGGGAUGGAGUAAUGCCGUCACAUCUCAGGUACAUUCCCUCACUGUCCGGUGCCCAAUGCCUAGAGAGUUUGACAGGCUAUCUCAAAUUUGAGUCGCCUUUGCUUCAUGCAAGGCCCACCUCUGGACCCAGAAUUCCCUGGCAUGAAUUUUGGUUAUCCAGUUUGCUCGUGUCAGACUGAUUCACAUAGAGUUGAGCUUCUAGAAAGCUGGCCUUCUUGUUGUGAGUGUACUGUGUCAACCCAGUGCUUUUGGGGGGCAGGCUGCACUCAUGCCCAUGCUCUUUCUCUCGCCAGAUCUCCUCAAACUUCUUCCCUCACACCCGAGUUUCUUCCCCCCAGGAGUCUCCUGGUGCGUGGAACUGACCAGAAACUGGGGUUCCCCAAAGCCUCUGUCUGCCUUCUGCAGCUGAGCUGCUUCAGCCUCUGUGGGACACCCAUUUGAAGGAAUCUGUCCAAAUCCAUGUAAGAGAUCUCCUCUUAUUUUUUUCCCUCCCACCUGAGGCUCUUCCUCCUCACUAGACACCUGUUCCAAAGAAGCUCCUGCAACUAGGUAAGAUGAAUCAAGCCUGGGUGGUCCUUGGUUUCUAUCUGGGUCCCAGGGCUGAAGGGUGCCGAUUGAUUCAGAGCCGGCUGAAGUGACUUACAGAGCUGGGUCUUUGAUUUCAAGGUGUGGGCUUGUGUCGUGAAGGUUGAGUAUCCAGGGUGACAGUGAAGAAUCCAUACUCCCACCCAAGAGUGGAUUUCAGUGUGCCUGAGAGGAAGAGGAAGUAAGACAUCUUGCUGGCUUGUCCCCCAG
rnacentral:lncRNA from 1 species